AAGUCGUAACAAGGUUUCCGUAGGUGAACCUGCGGAAGGAUCAUUACAGAUUAGAGAAGCUUAAUUGCUUUUUCUUACACUUGUGUUUUUUUAUAUGAAAAAAUUGCUUUGGUAGUGGAUAUUAACUUAUACGCUGCCAGAGGUUAAAACUAAAUUAAAUUUUUUUUUAAUACAACUUAGUCAACAAGAAAUCUAAUAGUUAAAACUUUCAACAACGGAUCUCUUGGUUCUG
rnacentral:misc_RNA from 1 species